UCAAGUGGUUUAAAAACCAAGCAGCAGCAAGCAAGUUCUUAAAGAACUGUAAGCAACUAAAGGUACCUGAAAACAAUCAAGUAUCAUCAGUACUCAGACAGACAACAAUAAACAGCAAAUGUUAAUCAGUCAGACUAUACAGAUUAAUGCACACAAAGGCAAGCUAUGAGCUCAAGCUCAAACUUCACAACCUACAAAACAAAUCCCAAUUAGUUCUCAACAUCAAACAAUGUCAAUUUAAUCCACUUGGUUCAA
rnacentral:lncRNA from 1 species